rnacentral:rRNA from 1 species
AAGCAGAUCUAGUGAAAAAUUAUUGGUAAGAAACAAGGUUAGAGAUGAAUCGAGUGAGGAUAAGAAAUUGAUUUGAAGGUUAAAUUUGUUAGUCAUUUGUAUUUUUAAAAUUCUCCUUCUGCUUGAAGCCUUGAAAACUUAGUUAAAAACCCGGAUUAGAUACCCGAUUAUUCUAAGAUAUAAACGUUAUGUAUAAUUACCCGGGUAUUAAAAGUUUGUUACUUGAAACUUAAAAAACUUGGCGGUGCUUUACCUGUCUAGGGGAACCUGUUCCUUAAUCUGAUAGUCCACAUUGAAGCUUUCCUUGCUUAGAAUAUAAAUAUAAAUUGUUUAUUCAGUUAGUAUAUCGUCGUUGUCAGACAACCCUUAAGGGUAAGGAAGAGGUCGGUAAAAGAAGAUACUUUAGAUUUCAGAUCGAGGUGCAGCUAAUGGUGAGGUGGAAAUGGGUUACUAUAAUAGUGUUGGAUUAAGAAUUGUAAUAUUUUUAUGAAACCGGACUUAGAAGUAAUCUGAUUUAUAAAUUAAUAUAUUUUAAUGAAUUAUGCUCUAAAGCGUGCACAAAUCGCCCGUCGCUCU